UGGGGAAUCUUGGACAAUGGGGGAAACCCUGAUCCAGCCAUGCCGCGUGAGUGAAGAAGGCCCUAGGGUUGUAAAGCUCUUUCAGCGGGGAAGAUAAUGACGGUACCCGCAGAAGAAGCCCCGGCUAACUCCGUGCCAGCAGCCGCGGUAAUACGGAGGGGGCUAGCGUUGUUCGGAAUCACUGGGCGUAAAGCGCGCGUAGGCGGACGGUUAAGUCGGGGGUGAAAGCCUGGGGCUCAACUCCAGAAUUGCCUUCGAUACUGGCCGUCUUGAGUCCGGGAGAGGUGAGUGGAAUUCCCAGUGUAGAGGUGAAAUUCGUAGAUAUUGGGAAGAACACCAGUGGCGAAGGCGGCUCACUGGCCCGGUACUGACGCUGAGGUGCGAAAGCGUGGGGAGCAAACAGGAUUAGAU
rnacentral:rRNA from 1 species